rnacentral:rRNA from 1 species
AUUGAACGCUGGCGGUAGGCCUAACACAUGCAAGUCGAACGCGAAAGUCCUUCGGAUGAGUAGAGUGGCGGACGGGUGAGUAACGCGUAGGAAUCUAUCCUGUAGUGGGGGAUAACGUUUCGAAAGGAACGCUAAUACCGCAUACGCCCCAAGGGGGAAAGCGGGGGAUCUUCGGACCUCGUGCUAUAGGAGGAGCCUGCGUCGGAUUAGCUAGUUGGUGAGGUAAAGGCUCACCAAGGCGACGAUCCGUAGCUGGUCUGAGAGGAUGAUCAGCCACACCGGAACUGAGACACGGUCCGGACUCCUACGGGAGGCAGCAGUGGGGAAUAUUGCGCAAUGGGCGAAAGCCUGACGCAGCCAUACCGCGUGUGUGAAGAAGGCCUCGGUUGUAAGACACUUUCUAGUGGGAGGAAAAGGACGUAGGUGGCGUAAU